AAGGUGGGGAGUGACGUCAAGUCAGCAUGGCCUUUAUGUCUAGGGCUACACACGUACUACAAUGGCCGGUACAAAGGGCAGCCACUCAGCGAUGAGGCGCUAAUCCCAAUAAAGCCGGUCUCAGUCCGGAUCGCAGUCUGCAACUCGACUGCGUGAAGUUGGAAUCGCUAGUAAUCGUAGAUCAGCAUGCUACGGUGAAUACGUUCCCGGGCCUU
rnacentral:rRNA from 1 species